AACAUCAAUUUUCGUUUUAGAAACAUUUUCAGAAUAUGGUGUACACUUGCAACAACGAGGCAGUAAACACUAUUAAAUAUUUGAAUGUCAUAGGGUGUUUUGCAUCAAUGCAAUGUAACGCCAGUGUUUCUCAUGUGCAAAUUCCAGUGCUACAACUUUGUCAAUAUUGACCAUCGGAUUAUUAUAAUGCCACUUUGAAAUGUCUUUUUUCUUUGUCUUUAUUUAAUUACGUGCAUAUUUCUUCUCAGUUUCUCAAUUUCCAGAUCUGAAUAUUUGAUCUUUUUGUCUCCAUUCUUGUUUGCUCAUCAAGUAUCCUACUGGGAAAAGGCUGUCGGUAAGUUUUCUUAUCGAUUUAAGAGUCCGUAAGGUUCUGGGUUGUUAUAUGUUAUUCUAUUCUGAAGGUUGUUAUUGAUUAAAGAGGCCUACUUGCAAUCAUUUUCUUAAAUCUGUGGUUCCUAUUCCCUGAAGAGAAAAUGAUUGAUGCCCUGUUUUGGGGUAAGGGACAUUGUAUACUUUAGUAUCUAACCGUUGGAUCACUUUGAUCUUUUGAGACCUAAUUCCUGUAGUUAUUUGUCACCUUUGACCAGAAGUCCUAGUUGAUAAGAGCUGAUUUGGAGAUCUAUUCAAUCUUCUAGAAAAUAGGAUCUGAGUUUCUAAAGCUGUUAUUGGAUCUGAACCUCACAUUCAGCCAUUGGAUUCUCUUUAGUUUUUUGAAUGUUAGUAAUUCUAGGAACCCUUGGUGGUGAUUCCAUGCCUGCAGAUCAGGUGGUAAUUUAUGGUCAUGUGUUUUAUUUCUUUCAUUUUCCACAAUUGCAUGUCAAAUUUCAGUUCCUUUUAAGAGGCAUCAAAAUUCUAAUAUCAAAUUCUCUGGCUUUUUGGGUUUUUAGAAACAUAGCCUCCUCACUUGAGGAGCUCAAAAGGUUGAGGACUAAUAUCAGUGAGAGUUCCAAUAUGGCAAGGGAACGAUUGAAAACCUUGGAAGAAGCUGCGUCCAAAUUUGAUAAAGUGCUUCCCAAGCAUCUCAGCAAGGAAGCUAUCUCGAGUAGAUAUAUCAUCAAAGUGACCGAUCCAAUACAUCAUCACCGUGUGAUCGGGCAGUCCUGGGAGGAAACAUGACUAAGUUGAGAUGGAUGUGUGGCCUGAUGAUCAUACUAGGCCACCUGUGGCCAUGGAUAAGGAUAAAGAAACAUUUAGAUUUGCCAAUAAUGGUGCAAUGCCGUCUGAAGAAAAAGAUCGGGCGUUACAUAUUGUUGGGGAUAGUUGGAAAAAGUCAAAGAUGAGAAAGAAAAGCUUUUGGAUAAAGUCGGAUGGAAUUAGUAAGGGAUUUGGGCUUGUAUGCUUCGUAACUCUGGAAGAAGUGGACACGACUAGGAAUAUUGU